UACGGAGGGUGCUAGCGUUAAUCGGAUUUAUUGGGCGUAAAGGGCGCGUAGGCGGGAAUGAAAGUCAGAUGUGAAAUUCCGGGGCUCAACCUCGGAGCUGCAUUUGAAACUUCAUUUCUUGAGGGUAGACGGAGAAAACGGAAUUCCACAAGUAGCGGUGAAAUGCGUAGAUAUGUGGAAGAACACCGGUGGCGAAGGCGGUUUUCUAGUUUAUUCCUGACGCUGAGGCGCGAAAGCAUGGGGAGCAAACAGGAUUAGAUACCCUGGUAGUCCAUGCCGUAAACGAUGCAUACUUGGCGUAGCUGGUCUCAACCCCAGCUGUGUCGUAGCUAACGUGUUAAGUAUGCCGCCUGGGGAGUACGCUCGCAAGGGUGAAACUCAAAAGAAUUGACGGGGACCCGCACAAGCAGUGGAGCAUGUGGUUUAAUUCGAUGCAACGCGAAGAACCUUACCUGGGCUUGACAUGCAGUAGACCGCUCCAGAGAUGGAGCUUUCCUUCGGGACUGCUGCACAGGUGCUGCAUGGCUGUCGUCAGCUCGUGCCGUGAGGUGUUGGGUUAAGUCCCGCAACGAGCGCAACCCUUAUCGUUAGUUGCCAGCGAUUAAAGUCGGGAACUCUAACGAGACUGCCUGGGUUAACCAGGAGGAAGGUGAGGAUGACGUC
rnacentral:rRNA from 1 species